CCUACGGGGGGCAGCAGUGGGGGAUAUUGCACAAUGGGGGGAACCCUGAUGCAGCGACGCCGCGUGGGUGAAGAAGCGCCUCGGCGCGUAAAGCCCUGUCAGCAGGGAAGAAAAUGACGGUACCUGAAGAAGAAGCCCCGGCUAACUACGAGCCAGCAGCCGCGGUAACACGGAGGGGGCAAGCGUUAUCCGGAUGUAAUGGGGGGAAAGGGGGCGCAGACGGCGGUGCAAGCCAGGAGUGAAAGCCCGGGGUCCAACCCCGGGACUGCUCUUGGAACUGGGUGGCUGGAGUGCAGGAGGGGCAGGCGGAAUUCCUGGUGUAGCGGUGAAAUGCGUAGAUAUCAGGCGGAACACCGGUGGCGAAGGCGGCCUGCUGGACUGCAACUGACGUUGAGGCCCGAAAGCGUGGGGAGCAAACAGGAUUAGAUACCCGAGUAGUC
rnacentral:rRNA from 1 species